CAUAACACCGUUUUUUACUGUGCAAUUUCAAAAGAGCAUAAGAGUCCCUUUUUUCUUCUUUAGAAGGCGAUCCUUUUUUGUUUCUAUUACGGCUAAGAGGUACAUGUAAGACUUAGUGCUUCCCUCUAUGAUAAGAAAAAGAAAUGCCAUUUGUCCUCAGAAUUAUCUUUGUUGAAUGCUUGGCUUGUUUCUCUUUGUAUAUUUCCACUUUAGAUAGGCUCUUUAUUUAAUUUUUUGAAAAGCUUGGUGUUGACCAUCAUCAUUCCAUGGAUAUAUAUAUGUAAGAUUUCAAUGCCAUAGAAAUUUGCAUGUUCUGAUCUUAAAGUGUCAACAUACAAAGUACUGUAAUUUCUAACUAUUUGAGACGGUAGAAAUCACAGUGAGAUUGUAUCCUCAUAUUUAUGUGUUAGAGUGAUAAUGACUAUUAUAUUCAAUGACCUCAAACGUAUGCAUUAAUCUUGAUGUAUCCUCUGGAUAAUUAAGUCAUGUUAUAUUUGGCUGUAUAUCAACACAUAAAUCGCCAAAUACUUGCACCACCCGCCAAGCAAGAUAAAAUAUAUCAUGGGAGCUAAUUUUUUUCCGAGGGUCAUGGUCCUUAAUUCUUUAUUCUAAUGUUUUUGAUUCCCUUUUUUGGCAAAGACAUCACUUCAUACGAGGCAGAGGCUAUACUUCGUACGAGGUGAAAGUUUUCAACGUCCGAGGCAAAGACUUUAUUUUAUUUAAAACUUGACUUUCUUUGGCUACGACAAAGACCAUUAUAUCGUUUGAACUGAAAAUUUUAUUUUAUAUGAGGCAAAGAACAUUACAUCAUGUUGGCCGAAAAAUUUAUUUUAUUUGAAAAUUUAACUUUCUUUAUCUGUGGCAAAGAUCAUUACAUUAUUUAAGUCAAAAAUUUUAUUUUUAUAUGAGUCAUAGACCAUUACACCAUCUAAGCCAAAUAUUUUACUUUUAUCUGAGGUGAAGACCAUUACACCAUCUGAGCCAAAGAUUUAUUUUAUCUGAAGCGAAGACCAUUACACCGUCUAAGCUAAAGACUUCACUUUAUUUGAAAAUUUGACUUUCUUUUAUCUGUGGCAAAGACCAUUACACCAUCUAAGCCAAAGAUUUUACUUUUAUCUGAAACGAAGACCAUUACACCUUCUAAGCUAAUGGCUUCAUCUUGUUUGAAGAUUUAACUUCAUUUUAUCUGAGGCAUAGACCAUUAUACCGUCUGGGCCAAAGAUUUAUUUUGUCUGAAGCGAAGACCAUUACACCGUCUAAGCUAAUGACUUCAUAUUGUUUAAAGAUUUAACUUCAUUUUAUCUGAGGCAUAGACCAUUACACCGUCUGGGUCAAAGAUUUAUUUUGUCUGAAGCGAAGACCAUUACACCGUCUAAGCUAAUGACUUCAUCUUGUUUGAAGAUUUAACUUCAUUUUAUCUGAGGCAUCCAUUACACCGUCUGGGCUAAAGAUUUAUUUUGUCUGAAGCGAAGACAAUUACACCGUCUGACUUAAAGACUUUACUUUUUAUCUAAGGCAAAGACCAUUACUCCGUAUGAGCCAAAGAUUUAUUUUGCAAAGGCGAAGACAACCAUCCAAGCUGAAGACUUUACUUUGUCCGAUGCUAAGACCAUUAUACCGUCUGAGCUGAAGACUAUACUUUGUCCUAGACGAAGACCAGCAAAGUCCAUUAUACAGUCUAACUUGAAGAUUUUACUUCACCACUAAAAGAUUUGACCUUUCAGCGCAAAGGAAUGAAAACUCGUCCUCAUUUCGAGAUAUAUGAAUCAGAGAUUAUAUGAAGCAUGAUUUAUCUUUUUUCAAAAAGCUGUCCACCAAGAAUAUCUCUUCAACUUCAAUCUUCACAGGUAAUUUUAUGAUCUCCUUUAUACAGAUAUGUUUCUCCUUUUUUUUUUUGCAGGUAGAAGAAGAAAUCAAUUCCAAAGAUACUACUUUAGUAAAGAUAACCUCAUAGUCAAAGAAUCUUUUUUUUACAUUUCAACUUAAAGACAUGGCAGACUUUAAGGCUUCUACUUGAAAACUUGACAGAUUUGAAGACUUCGACUUGAAGACUUAGUAGAUUUGAAGACUUUAACUUGAUGAUUCGAUUUGAAGGUUAAAGUAUAAGAGUUAAACUUGAAGUAGCCACUUUGAAGAAUUCAACUCGAAGACGUGGCAGACUUGGAUAGUUGAAGACUUAGCGGACUAGAAGAAUUUAACUCAACUUCAACUUGAAGAUUUAGCAUGCAGAGACUUCAAAUCAAUGAUAUAGAAAAUAUGAAGAAUUCAACUUGGCGACUUGGAAAACUUGAAGAAUUCAGCUAAAAGACAUGACGGUCUUGAAAACUUUGCAGCCUACUAAAGACUAUAAUUGUCUUGAAGAUAACAAUCUCGGUGAAGAGGAUCAAGUCAUUCUGCAGUUUAUAACAAGUGAGCUUCUUUGUUUUUAAUACUUUAUGGAUUUGAUGACUUGGCACACUUGAAUACUGCAACUUUAAGACCUAGCGGGCUUGAAUACUUCAAAUUGAUGAUGUAAUAGACUUGACAAAAUUAACUUGGCUUAGAAUUGGAGCCUUCAACUUGAAUAUUUAGCCUCUUAUUAAAGAAACUACAAUAAUUCCAUCAAAGACCUCAAUUUGACAUGGAGGGCUUGCCCCUAUUGACCCAUUAAGAUAAGACAAAGAGUUCAACAAAAGAAUACAUGUACACCUAAUUUUCAAGUGUCAAUCAAGUG
rnacentral:lncRNA from 1 species